ACUGAGUGGCGGACGGGUGAGUAACGCGUGGGUAACCUACCUCAUACAGGGGGAUAACAGUUGGAAACGACCGCUAAUACCGCAUAACCCGCUAGUAUCGCAUGAUACGGACGGAAAAGAUUUAUCGGUGUGAGAUGGACCCGCGUCUGAUUAGCCAGUUGGCAGGGUAACGGCCUACCAAAGCAACGAUCAGUAGCCGGCCUGAGAGGGUGAACGGCCACAUUGGGACUGAGACACGGCCCAAACUCCUACGGAAGGCAGC
rnacentral:rRNA from 1 species